rnacentral:tmRNA from 1 species
GGGGAUGUUUUUGGAUUCGACAGGUAUUUUUGGAUUUAAAUGGCGUUCCGUGUAGUUACGUAAAACUAUUAAAAUUUAUCUGCAAAAGAUAAUAACAAUAACUACGCAUUAGCUGCCUAAAAACAGUAUUUUUGCGUAACUUAAAAAUUAUUAGCUUAGGGUAAUUUUUAAGUUUUAACCACACUAAGCUAUAUUAGUUAACUUGCCUAGAUUAACUAAUGAAUUAUUUAAAGGCUUAGUUAUUUAUUUGGUUUUGUCAAAUAUACCUGUAAAUAAUGAAUGUAAUUAUUUGACUAUGAGCGUAGAUAUUUAAAUUACGAAAUAUUUGGACGCGGGUUCGACUCCCGCCAUCUCCAU